AUGAUGCCGAUGCCACUGCCAUUGCCUGCGCUCCCACUUUGUGGCCAGUCUUCAUUCAUCUUCAGUAGCACCAGCACUCGGAGGACAGCAGCCAUGAUUCACAUCGAUCUUACAACGAUGGCAUGCGUGAUUUCUAUAUGCCUAUGUGUGGGAAGUCCUUUGCCUUUUCAAAAGUUGUACGAGUGUCCCACAACGCAGGAAAUGCUCUGUGAGAACAUGGUCACCUCUAAGGGAUUUACCUACAAGGUGCCUCAGGACAUGCUUCCAGACUUGAGAGAUCGCGAUUGUGAACAUGGGUGGUUUUAUCUGAAUGAAACAUUUAUUGUUGACUCAACGCAGCCUGGGGAGAAUUUAGGAUUUGUAGUGGCUGUGACUUCUGAAAACCUGACAGUCAGCACCUGCAUAAACCUUCAAUGGCAACUUCACUGUGAAAACAUUAAGCUUCACUGUACUGUUAAUUAUAGAGUGAAACAUAAAGCGCCACAUGAAACCCUGCCAGGAAAUUACACAUCUUCAGGAGACAAAGGAGAUGCAAGUUCUCCUGGCUGGCUUAUUGCUGUAAUCGUGGGGAGCGUGAUUGUGUCUGUUCUCAUCAUAUCUGCUACCAUUUGGUUUUGUUUGAAGAAGGCAAGAAAGUCAGCGUACACUCCUCCAGGUGAAGAUGAAUCUGAGGAAGAAUUCUGAAUUGUCAAAGUCUAAGCAAUAGGUCAGCCAGAUUAGUCUAAGCUCUGUGAAAAGUGUAUCUUAACACUGUAAAGCCCACACUGUAAAAAAUUUACCGUAAANAAAAAAAGGCCUACAAAUGUUUUUUUUUCUUCUCAAGACCACAUUUACAUAGUUAAUGGGUUCUAUUGUUUGUCCUCACAAUGCUUUUGGAUAGAAGUGUUUAUAGGUCCGGUCAUCUGGCCAUGAACUCACGUAUACCUGCAAACUUUGCGUGGAGCUCAUCUCCUUUUUUUGCAUGACUGGAUUUGUCAAGAUUCAAGUAAGAAAAAUUCCUUACAUAUUUUUUUUUUGUGUGUGUGUGUGUUUAUUACAAUGUCUAGAACACAUACAUAUUUAGUUAUUUUGGAAAACAUUAAUCAAAUUUUAUUUAGAGCUUGUUAAGUCUAUGUUGUAAUUCUACAACGUUGGGCCAGAGUGGUAGUUAAAAUAGCCUGUGCUCCUUACACAUUACAUAAGGACACUGCACUUCUCACAUGGUCACAAAUUGAAAUUUAAACUGUUAGAUGAUUCAUUGUAACUAAGUUCUAAAUGUGCUUUUCUGUUAAAUUAGUACUUAGUUUAGCUUAGACCAUAAUUAAAUGCAGGAAUUAAUUGUGUGUGGUAUUUGAAACUUCAUCAUCUAGAGCAGUAUCUGAAACUCCCUGUAUCUGUGUAGUUUUUUGUUUGUUUUUUUUAACUUCUAAAUGAUCCUGAAAUUUUUUAUGAGUGUUGCCCAAGUAGCAUUUUAUAGCAUUAAAAGAUAUAUAUAUAUAAAAAAAAACAGAAUGUUCUGAAUGUUCUGGAUUUACAACAAUAUUACAACAUUUCCCUAAAAACUUACUAAAAUAUAAAAAAAAAAUGAAAAAUCUUUAAUUUCUACAUCAGAGACCUCCUAAAACAUUUUUUUUCUAUAUUUGGGUAGGGUUAAGCAUCCAAAAGUGUCUGAAUACAUUUUAAGGCAAAUUGAAUAUAUUCACAACAAUUACUUGUGUGUGCACCCUAGACCACAACAGUCUUAGGGCCAGUUCAGGCUAGGAUUUUAUCCCAAAUUUGACACGAUCUGCUUUAUGUAGAGUGUUGUGGGGAUUUGUAAAUGACAAUGGGCAUCUGGACGCAGGAUUCAAAAAUUUUAUCUUGUGUAGAGUGUGGACAACAACCGAUGCCACGUCUGCGAUGCUUCACAACAUCAACACGGAAAGACUUAUGUUUAAAUAUCUGUGACACAAAGCAAUAGGAGCACAGAAGCGCCUUCUUACAUGCUUUCAAACAAGCCAAAACAAAUGAGAGACAACCAGGGGCGUCAUGCACUCAUUAUUCUUGAGGGAGCAUGAGCUAUUUAUUUAUUUAUUUUUUCAAACUGAAUUAUCAUGAAAUAUCUUAAUUCUCACCUUUAUAGAUUAUGAUCUAUAGUGGCGGAUGGUCAAAGUAACUUCCUUCCUCGUGUUUAUAAGCCCUGUUUGUUUAGUUCCUCCGGGUCCGCUAUUGUUUAUUAUUGAGUGUUUAGUGUUAUAGGUGAUGUUGGAUUGUUGACCUGUUCCUCUUGAGAUUUACCUGGAUUAUUAAAUAAUACCCUGUUAUACCUUCUUCUUCGAGCGCUUUACUCAGCACGCCAGCCCGGGUGUGACAAUGAGCUAUUUAUUUAUUUUUUCAAACUGAAUUAUCAUGAAAUAUCUUAAUUCUCACCUUUAUAGAUUAUGAUCUAUAGUGGGGGAUGGUCAAAGUAACUUAUAAAAACCUGUCUGUUUACUUAAUUAACAGAUAUGGGUGUCAUGCCAUAACAUAUUUUUAAUACGACUGAGUUUAUAUUUAAUGUAAAUUUAACAUUGGAAGUUAAUGUGAAUAAAAACAUUGCAAGUAACA
ensembl:lncRNA